CGUCCUCGAAAUUUAACUUAAUAGGUUCUAAAUGGGAAUAAUGAGCUAGGAUUUCUCUUCUCAUUCUCAUGUAGUUUCUUGGGGUCCGUGCCUAGUUCACUCUAUAUUUGACUAUCGGUGCUUCUUGACUUCGUAAAGCUUGUACUUUUGAUCUAGUAUACUGAUUGACUUCUCUUUUGUACGCUGAUGAAUGAUGUGGCUGAAAUCGUGCAAGUAUUUCGCAAUCCUCGAGACACACAUUUGUACUGCUGACCGUUGUAGCGUGAAAGCUAGACGGUAGGCUACGUCAUCCUAUUCGUUCUCGAAUUUUAAACGAACCUAUAAAUCGAGGUCUCAAUUUUCGUUUCUUUCUGAACCACGGGACUCUAUUUAUCGGUGCUACUUAAGGAGAAUACUUCCGCCAACCUUGAAAUAGAACGUCGAAAUAGAACUUCUUUCUUCUAUCGGUCCCGUGCCAUUUUGAUCCUUUUGUCUCGCAAUCACUUCGAUGGUUGCUUUCACGAUUUUUGGGCCUAACACUUAUCGUUUGCCAAAUACAUCCCUAAUGUAAAGAUGACCUACACUUUUUCCUAUAUAAUGCCUCGUAUAGAGCCUAUGUUGAUAGUAGUUGGAAAACUGCUAUUAUUCGUGAAUUCUAUCGACGGUAAAUGAGCUUCCUAACAAACUCAACUAUCGUUUUCUUCUUUCAUCUUUAACAUCUUGUGAAGGUCUUGGUGUUUCCAGGGCGUGCCGUGUAACUCGUGCGAUGCUCUUGAAAAAUUUUCUCCAUCAGUUUAUUGUCCUUGGGGACCCAAAUUCUGUCUACCUACUAAACAUUCUAUCACUUGCCAAUAUGAAUAUCCAUAUUAUCGUCUCUUAAAUCUCUAUUCGUCAUUCGGUGGAGAAAAGUCGUUGAUUUCCUGAGCUUCCUUAAGUUAAUCUUGUAUCGUGAACACUAAUGUUGCUAACUUAACUUUUUGAGUAUUCGAAGUUACUACGUCGAGUUUCUACCUUUUGAAUUCUCUUAUCAAGGUCUCUUGUUGAGUUAUCAUCCAAGCGAGUUGUCUUUUAUCU
rnacentral:lncRNA from 1 species